CCAUCCUGACCCUCGGGAACGGGACAUGUUGACACAGUCCGCUCUCCCUCGGCGCUUUUCCUUCCCGCAUGGCCCCGGCGCCAUUUUAGCUUCAGGCCCCGCGCGAGAUGGCGGUUAACGGCCGCCUCGUGCCCCAAGUGACCGUUAGCAGCUGCUUCAGGGGAAAUGCUCUUUAAAGGGACAACCCUUUCAGGAGAGAGAAACAACAGGGCUGGCUCCGGGACUCGCCAAACUCAAUAAUAAUGACAAAUACACACAGACAGAGAGGUGGGAGUGAACAAGAAAUUGUGCGGCGGCACAUCAAGACCAAAGGCCACUCUCCCGAAGGACGGCUGCCCCAGGACUCGAAACGUUGACUCCGCUUUCUCUCUGUCUGUCUCUGGACAGAUGCUGCCAGGCCUGAAGCACAAACAAGGUCCUCGGGGGUGACCAAGCACAGCAG